rnacentral:lncRNA from 1 species
AGGAGGAGAAGAGGAGAAGAGGAGUAGGAGGAGGACGAGAAGAAGAAGAGGAGGAGAAGAGGAGAAGAAAGAGGAAAAAUGAAAAGAAGGAAGAAGAAGAAGAAGANNNNNNNNAAGAAGAAGAAGAAGAAUAAGAAGAGAAGAAAAAAAUAAGAAGGAGAAGAAGAAGAAGAAGAAGAAGAAGAACAAGAACAAGAACAAGAAGAAGAAGAGAAGAAAAAAAUAAGAAGAACAAGAAGUAAAGAAGAAGAGAAGAAUAGAAUAAGAAAAAAAUAAGAAGGAGAAGAAGAGAAAAAAGAAGAAGAAGUAGAAGAAGAGGAUAAACAAAAAUAGAAAUAGAAAUAAGAGGAGGAGGAAGAAGAAGAGGAGAAGAGGAGGAGGAGGAGGAGGAGGAGAAGAAGAAGAAGAGGAGGAGAAGAGGAGAAGAAAGAGGAAAAAUGAAAAGAAGAAGAAGAGAAGAAGAAGGAGAAGGAGGAGGAGGAGGAGGAGGAGGCCUCCU